rnacentral:rRNA from 1 species
GACGAACGCUGGCGGCGUGCCUAAUACAUGCAAGUAGGACGCAGUUGCGAACGUGUUAGUUACGCGUAUGUAACUGCCUAUUAGAGGGGGAUAACUAUUGUAAACGAUAGCUAAUACCGCAUACUAGUAGAUGUACCUGCGUUGUAUUAGCUAGUAGGUAGGGUAAUGGCCUACCUAGGCGACGGUACAUAGCCGACCCGGGAGGGUGAACGGCCACACUGGGAAUGGGGCAAGGGCCCGAACCCCAAGGGGGGCAGCAGUAGGGGAACAUUGGCAAUGGGGGGAAAGCUGAACGCGCAAAGGCGCGUGAGUGAAGAAGGUUUUCGGAGCGUAAAGCUAUGUUGUUAAGGAAGCGGUACUUAAACAGAAAGGGACGGCUAACUACGUGCCAGCAGCCGCGGUAAUUC